GUAGGUGGCAGGCGUUGUCCGGAAUUAUUGGGCGUAAAGCGCGCGCAGGCGGUUCUUUAAGUCUGAUGUGAAAGCCCACGGCUCAACCGUGGAGGGUCAUUGGAAACUGGAGAACUUGAGUACAGAAGAGGAAAGCGGAACUCCACGUGUAGCGGUGAAAUGCGUAGAGAUGUGGAGGAACACCAGUGGCGAAGGCGGCUUUCUGGUCUGUAACUGACGCUGAGGCGCGAAAGCGUGGGGAGCAAACAGGGAUUAGAUACCCUGGUAGUCCACGCCGUAAACGAUGAGUGCUAAGUGUUAGGGGGUUUCCGCCCCCUUAGUGCUGCAGCUAACGCAUUAAGCACUCCGCCUGGGGAGUACGGCCGCAAGGCUG
rnacentral:rRNA from 1 species